GACGAACCGAGCGAACGUUGUUCGGAAUCACUGGGCUUAAAGGGCGCGUAGGCGGGCUGCCGCGUCCGGGGUGAAAUCCUCCGGCUCAACCGGGGAAGGGCCUCGGAUACGGGCGGCCUCGAGGGGGGUAGGGGCACCUGGAACUGUGGGUGGAGCGGUGAAAUGCGUUGAUAUCCACAGGAACUCCGGUGGCGAAGGCGAGGUGCUGGACCCCAACUGACGCUGAGGCGCGAAAGCCAGGGGAGCGAACGGG
rnacentral:rRNA from 1 species